AUUGAACGCUGGCGGCAGGCCUAACACAUGCAAGUCGAACGGUAGCACAGGAGAGCUUGCUCUCUGGGUGACGAGUGGCGGACGGGUGAGUAAUGCAUGGGGAGCUGCCCAAUCGAGGGGGAUACCAGCUGGAAACGGCUGCUAAUACCGCAUACGCCCUGAGGGGGAAAGGUGGGGACCUUCGGGCCUACCGCGAUUGGAUGCGCCCAUGUGGGAUUAGCUGGUUGGUGAGGUAACGGCUCACCAAGGCGACGAUCUCUAGCUGGUCUGAGAGGAUGACCAGCCACACUGGAACUGAGACACGGUCCAGACUCCCACGGGAGGCAGCAGUGGGGAAUAUUGCACAAUGGGGGAAACCCUGAUGCAGCCAUGCCGCGUGUGUGAAGAAGGCCCUGGUUGUAAGUACGACUUCUAGUGGGA
rnacentral:rRNA from 1 species